rnacentral:rRNA from 1 species
UACGUAGGGUGCAAGCGUUGUCCGGAAUUAUUGGGCGUAAAGAGCUCGUAGGUGGCCUGUCGCGUCGGCUGUGAAAACUCGGGGCUCAACUCCGAGCUUGCAGUCGAUACGGGCAGGCUAGAGUGAUGUAGGGGAGACUGGAAUUCCUGGUGUAGCGGUGAAAUGCGCAGAUAUCAGGAGGAACACCGAUGGCGAAGGCAGGUCUCUGGGCAUUAACUGACGCUGAGGAGCGAAAGCAUGGGGAGCGAACAGG